GCGUCCGUAGCUCGGUUGGUUAGAGCACCACCUUGACAUGGUGGGGGUCGGUGGUUCGAGUCCACUCGGACGCA
rnacentral:tRNA from 1 species